rnacentral:rRNA from 1 species
AUUGAACGCUGGCGGCAUGCUUUACACAUGCAAGUCGAACGGUAACAGGCCUUCGGGCGCUGACGAGUGGCGAACGGGUGAGUAAUGCAUCGGAACGUGCCCAGUCGUGGGGGAUAACGCAGCGAAAGCUGUGCUAAUACCGCAUACGAUCUGCGGAUGAAAGCGGGGGACCUUCGGGCCUCGCGCGAUUGGAGCGGCCGAUGUCAGAUUAGGUAGUUGGUGGGGUAAAGGCCCACCAAGCCAACGAUCUGUAGCUGGUCUGAGAGGACGACCAGCCACACUGGGACUGAGACACGGCCCAGACUCCUACGGGAGGCAGCAGUGGGGAAUUUUGGACAAUGGGCGCAAGCCUGAUCCAGCAAUGCCGCGUGCAGGAAGAAGGCCUUCGGGUUGUAAACUGCUUUUGUACGGAGCGAAAAGGCUCCCUCUAAUACAGGGGGCUCAUGACGGUACCGUAAGAAUAAGCACCGGCUAACUACGUGCCAGCAGCCGCAGUAAGAC